rnacentral:rRNA from 1 species
GUAAUACCGCAUACGUCUACGGGAGAAAGCAGGGGACCUUCGGGCCUGCGCUAUCAGAUGAGCCUAGGUCGGAUUAGCUAGUUGGUGGGGUAAUGGCUCACCAAGGCGACGAUCCGUAACUGGUCUGAGAGGAUGAUCAGUCACACUGGAACUGAGACACGGUCCAGACUCCUACGGGAGGCAGCAGUGGGGAAUUUGGACAAUGGGCGAAAGCCUGAUCCAGCCAUGCCGCGUGUGUGAAGAAGGUUUCGGAUUGUAAAGCACUUUAGUUGGGAGGAAGGGCAGUAAGCUAAUACCUUGCUGUUUUGACGUUACCGACAGAAUAAGCACCGGCUAACUUGUGCCAGCAGCCGCGGUAAUACAGAGGGUGCAAGCGUUAAUCGGAAUUACUGGGCGUAAAGCGCGCGUAGGUGGUUCGUUAAGUUGGAUGUGAAAGCCCCGGGCUCAACCUGGGAAUGCAUCCAAAACUGGCGAGCUAGAGUACGGUAGAGGGUGGUGGAAUUUCCUGUGUAGCGGUGAAAUGCGUAGAUAUAGGAAGGAACACCAGUGGCGAAGGCGACCACCUGGACUGAUACUGACAUGAGGUGCGAAAGGUGGGGAGCAAACAGGAUUAGAUACCCUGGUAGUCCACGCCGUAAAGAUGUAAGGUAGCCUUGGAAUCCUUGAGAUUUUUAGUGGCGCCAGUUAU